rnacentral:lncRNA from 1 species
AAUAGAUAAAUUAAUAUCUAUAACAUAAAUACCUGAAGUCGUAGUCUCACUACUCUUCUUCUUCUUGUACUCAUCCAAAUAGAGUUUGCAAUUUCUCUUCCAAUGCCCUGGUUCCUUGCAAUGGAAGCAGAUUCCUUCCUUAGGAACUAUUUCCUUAGGAACUUUUGCCUUGGAUUGCCAUUUAGGCUUGCCUCAUCCCUU